GGGUUGUGAGGUUAAGCGACUAAGCGUACACGGUGGAUGCCCUGGCAGUCAGAGGCGAUGAAGGACGUGCUAAUCUGCGAUAAGCGUCGGUAAGGUGAUAUGAACCGUUAUAACCGGCGAUUUCCGAAUGGGGAAACCCAGUGUGAUUCGUCACACUAUCAUUACGUGAAUACAUAGCGUAAUGAAGCGAACCGGGGGAACUGAAACAUCUAAGUACCCCGAGGAAAAGAAAUCAACCGAGAUUCCCCCAGUAGCGGCGAGCGAACGGGGAGGAGCCCAGAGCCUGAAUCAGCAUGUGUGUUAGUGGAAGCGUCUGGAAAGGCGCGCGAUACAGGGUGACAGCCCCGUACACAAAAGCGCAUAUGCUGUGAGCUCGAUGAGUAGGGCGGGACACGUGGUAUCCUGUCUGAAUAUGGGGGGACCAUCCUCCAAGGCUAAAUACUCCUGACUGACCGAUAGUGAACCAGUACCGUGAGGGAAAGGCGAAAAGAACCCCGGCGAGGGGAGUGAAAAAGAACCUGAAACCGUGUACGUACAAGCAGUGGGAGCCCCACCACCAAAGCAUUCUCUGGUGUUGAAGGCCCUGCAAAGCAGCAUCGCGGUGGCGGAGCGUCGUUUGCGACGCCCAACACACAAAACAAGCGGUGAGUGCUUUGGGGUGGGGUGACUGCGUACCUUUUGUAUAAUGGGUCAGCGACUUAUAUUCUGUAGCAAGGUUAACCG
rnacentral:rRNA from 3 species